UCUCCGUUGGUGAACCAGCGGAGGGAUCAUUACCGAGUUUACAACUCCCAAACCCAAUGUGAACGUUACCAAACUGUUGCCUCGGCGGGAUCUCUGCCCCGGGUGCGUCGCAGCCCCGGACCAAGGCGCCCGCCGGAGGACCAACCAAAACUCUUAUUGUAUACCCCCUCGCGGGUUUUUUUUAUAAUCUGAGCCUUCUCGGCGCCUCUCGUAGGCGUUUCGAAAAUGAAUCAAAACUUUCAACAACGGAUCUCUUGGUUCUGGCAUCGAUGAAGAACGCAGCGAAAUGCGAUAAGUAAUGUGAAUUGCAGAAUUCAGUGAAUCAUCGAAUCUUUGAACGCACAUUGCGCCCGCCAGUAUUCUGGCGGGCAUGCCUGUCCGAGCGUCAUUUCAACCCUCGAACCCCUCCGGGGGGUCGGCGUUGGGGAUCGGCCCUGCCUUGGCGGUGGCCGUCUCCGAAAUACAGUGGCGGUCUCGCCGCAGCCUCUCCUGCGCAGUAGUUUGCACACUCGCAUCGGGAGCGCGGCGCGUCCACAGCCGUUAAACACCCAACUUCUGAAAUGUUGACCUCGGAUCAGGUAGGAAUACCCGCUGAACUUAAGCAUAUCAAUA
rnacentral:rRNA from 1 species